GUUGUGCUGGCUGUAGCCAUGUACAAACGUCAAAUACCAUGUACAAACGUCAAAUAACGGCUCAUUCCAUCACCUAUAUUUAGCAAACUACUGUAGCACAAUAGCCGCCAGUGCAAUGUCCCGAGUGGGAUUAUUGUUUUUAUCUAAUACAUUUGCAAACAUUUCUAAAAACCUGUUUUAAGCUUUGACAUAUGGCUGCUACUAAAGGGGUAGAUAGUUCAAUAGUAAUAUCCUCUAAAACGCUCCGGUGACAAACAAACUCUGCUGCCCUGUUUCCAAUCGUCCACAUGGCUGGGAGAACCUAUUCAAGUAAGUAAGUAAGUAAAUACAUUUCGAAAAUAACUAUGCAUUAUUAGCUAAUUUGCUACAGUGCAGGCUAACUCAAAUGAGCUAGCUAGUCGGUUAGCUACCUAGCCAUCUUCACAUACUGUAUAGAUAGCUAGCUAAGUGAAUGAAAUAUCACCAUCUACCUAACGUCAUAUUAGCUAGCUAUCUUGAUGUAUUUAUCGCUGUAAAAAAAAAUAUCAAAAUGCAUUCGUAGGUAGCUAGCUAACAGCCAUGGAGGACGGUGAAAGGAUAGCAGCCCCAACUAUCAGUGAAAGUAACGUUAGGCUAUUCUGAAUAGGACAUGUACUUUUGUGUAGUUCCUGUCCCUAGAAGUGAGGAUUGAUAUAAUAGCAACAUAAUAUUCAGUGUGGUGUAAUUUGACUACAAUGAAGUUUGUUUCUUGUGAGGUUUUCUGUCCUCAGAUAAAGAGAGCUAUGAAAGCCUGUCUACAUAUGACGAGGUCCCAAAUGAAGAGCAGUGAUUCUCAGUCCUGGGGGACUCAAAGCGGUGCACAUUUUUGUUUUUGCCUUAGAACUGCACUGCUGAUUCAAAUGCUCAACUCAUCAUCAAGCUUCAAAUGAUACCUUGUAACUGGAGAUUCCUUCAAAACGAUUGCCUACAGUUAAUGUGUAGGGCACAGCAAGGUUGGGUGACUAGGGCCACCUGGGACUGCCUGCUGGAGGAAUUCAGGUGUGUGAAGGAGCAAUUCAGGUGUGUGAAGGCUACCUGUGUCCUGCAUAAUUUCAUGAGAAUAGACACAAGGACCAGGAGGGGAUCUGCAGCUCCCCGCCAUGUGCCAGAGGAAAAGUCUGCUGCUCUGCAGGAUGUUUUAAGGAUGGGGUCCAACAAUGCAGCAAGAGAGGCAAUCUGUGUGCGGGAGAUCUUCACCUCCUACUUCUUUCGAAGAGGGUGCUGUUCCCUGGCAACACCAUAGACUACACUAUGCACAACCAAAGGCUCUUUUAAGAGCCAUUCACAUUGCAAUAAGAGUAUUCUUCCAUUUACUUAGCUAUGUCAACUGCAGUUAUUCAAUUCCCAGUUUCUACUUCUCAGGUGAGGGUGCUGUUUAGGUAAGGGUGUGAUGUUUGUACAAAAACCAAACAGGCUAUUUUAAAUCACCCAUAUUGAAAAAAUGUAGAACAAUUAGACACCCUAUAACCCACACCUACACACUCAUGUAUCAAUCUGAUUGAUGGAUUGUGUUGUGCAGUAAGCAGGCUCAGGUGUAUAACUGUGGUUCCUUCCACCUUCAAAGAAUAGGCAAGAGUGCCAACUAUGGAGAAUAAUAUAAGACACUUAAUGAUUUAUAUAACUACGCUAAUAUUGUUUGUUCUUGUGUUUCCGUUCAUGCGUUUCAGCAUAAAGUACUCUGCAGCCACUUAGUGUGGUGUAGACACCAGGUUAUAUCAGCUGUGUCGGUGAACCCCUCCCGCAUCUGAACUGGCUACAUAGAAGGCACUUGGUCAGGUCAACAAGAAGUAUUAUUAAAGAGAUGUUUUACAUUGAAAUACAGAUAGAGAUGUAGUUGUCCCAGAGUUAAUGAUCCAAGGUCAGUUUAGCAUUUAACCUGAUGAUUAUGAUGACUAACAAUGUUAGUAUAAAAAAUAAAAACAAGGCUUAAACAUGCUAUCUCAUCUGCAGAUAUGUUUUGAUGUGAGAGAGGAUGCCAACUCCCAGUCCCAUCAUCGCCACCUCAUCCAUUCUUAAUAUAACUUUCGGGCCGACUAGAGACACUUAUGCAAUUGUGAUGAACUGAGAGAAUAUUUGGGUAGCAAUGAUUCAUUAAUCUUACCUCUUUCCCUUUGUCUUUUACACCUCGCACCACCUCUUUCUUCCUCUGUUUUAUAAUGUACAACAGAUGUACAUUGAAGUACAGAUUGAACUUGCAUUUAUAAUAUUACAAAUAUAUUUAUGCAUGUAUUUAUAACACUUGGAUAAUGAACUUCUUUCAAUAAAGUGUCACAUUCUCUA